GACGAACCGUGCGAACGUUAUUCGGAAUCACUGGGCUUAAAGGGCGCGUAGGCGGGUCAUCAAGUCCGGGGUGAAAUCCCACGGCCCAACCGUGGAAGUGCCUUGGAUACUGGAGACCUCGAGGGGGAUAGGGGCGUGCGGAACUCAGGGUGGAGCGGUGAAAUGCGUAGAUAUCCUGAGGAACACCGGUGGCGAAGCGGCGCGCUGGAUCCCUUCUGACGCUGAGGCGCGAAAGCCAGGGGAGCAA
rnacentral:rRNA from 1 species